rnacentral:rRNA from 1 species
AGCGAACGCUGGCGGCGUGCUUAACACAUGCAAGUCGAGCGAAGGUGUUUCAAGGGUAACCUUGAGAUACACUUAGCGGCGGACGGGUGAGUAAUACGUGGAUAACUUACCUCUAGGCCUGGGGAUAACCCCGGGAACUAGGGGCUAAUACCUGAUAAGACCACAUUGUCUACGGACAAAGGGGUAAAAGGUGGCUGUGCAAACAGCUAUCGCCAAAAGAUAGGUUCACGUCCCAUCAGGCAGUGGUGAGGUAAUGGCUCACCAAACCAAAGACGGGUAGCCGGCCUUGGCGGGUGAACGGCCACACGGGGACUGAGACACGGCCCCG